rnacentral:rRNA from 1 species
AUUGAACGCUGGCGGCAGGCCUAACACAUGCAAGUCGAACGGAGCGGCGGACGGGUGAGUAAUGGCUAGGAAUCUGCCUGGUAGUGGGGGAUAACGUCCGGAAACGGUCGCUAAUACCGCAUACUAUCAGAUGAGCCUAGGUCGGAUUAGCUAGUUGGUGGGGUAAAGGCAUACCAAGGCGACGGUCCGUAACUGGUCUGAGAGGAUGAGCAGUCACACUGGAACUGAGACACGGUCCAGACUCCUACGGGAGGCAGCAGUGGGGAAUAUUGGACAAUGGGCGCAAGCCUGAUCCAGCCAUGCCGCGUGUGUGAAGAAGGUCUUCGGGUUGUAAAGUACUUUAAGUGGGGAGGCGUUACCCGCAGAAUAAGCACCGGCUAACUUCGUGCCAGCAGCCGCGGUAAUAC